rnacentral:lncRNA from 12 species
AUUUAUCCGAGCUGUGCCCUGUCAGGAUAUCAAUCUGCUGCUGCUGCCUCAAUUCCUGGAGCAACCUUUACUUUUGCCCCUUCUGCAUCAGUUCUUAAGCUACUCUUUCAGUUCUGUGAGCCACACUCUAGCUUUGUGAUAAAUCCCCUUUUUGGUUGAGCUAGCCAGGGUGAAGUUCAAUAAUUUGUAACCAAAGAAUCCCAUCAGAUAUGAGUAGCAACACUGACGUCCAUCCCAUAGAGUGUGACAGACCUUCCUGGAUCAUCUUGAGCACCCCAGGAUAUCUCUUCCUUCAGAACUGCUUAAGGAAGUGGAGAGGCUACACAGACCCAGGCUCCCACGAACCCCCUGUGCCCCCUGGUUUUCGGCAAUGUCGCUCUUUGGCCCAGCAGCCCAAGCCCCGGCCCAGGCAUCCCGGCCCUGUUAGGUGCAGCUGGUCUCGGGCCCGUCUCAGGUAAGUAACGGGCACGUUGGGCUGCAAUUUCUAUUCCUGAAUAGGCCUCCUAUCUCAGAGUCAUGCUUCAACAAACACUCAAUUAAAAGGAAAAAACCUCUGGGUGAUGGAAGGCACCCUAUUACUGAGAAGCAGGGAAUGUUUACUGAAGAAAGAGACUUCUCUCUAGUUACUAGUAGCCUAGCGAAGAUUUAUGAGCCAGUUUGUCCCACAGCAAUCAAACUUGAAAUGUGAAGUCUAAACUGGUGCGUUUUUUAAUCAACAAAACAAACUAGGUCAUGAGAGUUGCUUAGAAUUAGGAAUUAGGCAAAGCAGUGGAGUGUUAAGACUGUGUGGCCAAGGAGCUAGGCCUGAGG